rnacentral:rRNA from 1 species
ACGCUCGACACCUACGGGAGGCAGCAGUGGGGAAUAUUGCACAAUGGGGGAAACCCUGAUGCAGCGACGCCGCGUGGAGGAAGAAGGUCUUCGGACUGUAAACUCCUGUUGUUGGGGAAAAAGAGGAUGGUACCCAACAAGGAAGUGACGGCUAACUACGUGCCACAGCCGCGGUAAUCUGAGCGGGCUGGCAAGGC